UUCAAACCUAAAACUUUAACCGUGUUGUUUCCUCUAAACCAUAAACCUUUUCUUGAACCUUAACAAACCUUAUUAUUAUUUCCUAUUUUCGCUCUUAUUUUAUAUAUUCAUACACUGUACUGCUUCGCCUUGUAAUAUUUUAAGUUUUAACUUGUAAUAUUUUUAGUUUUACUUUUCGCCAUCUUUAUUAUGUAACUGCACCAAAGCGUUGUAAUAAUUAGGAUUUUAUUUUCUGCCAUUU
rnacentral:lncRNA from 1 species